rnacentral:rRNA from 1 species
AUGUAUCUGACAGACCGGGCCCACCUGUCAGGUGACAUGGUGGCCAAUCGGCGCGUGCUCGGUUUGUUGACUAGGACGACACUGGUGCGGUGCGGUGGGUCAAAACUGGCUCGGUCGGCUCGGUCGGUCCUCACUCUCGCUCUCCCUCCUAUCUCCGAUUCGCCGCCGCCGCCGCCGCCACCUCAACCGGCUCGCCAUCGCGCCAUGGAGGACGAGAUCAGCCAGGACUCCAGCGAGCAAUACAUGAACCUCUCCGACGACAAAGCCAUGCAUUACCGGAUCCCUGCUAGCAUUGAAGACCAAGACUACAGUGGCACUGAGACAACACCCAUUGUUCUUUGCCAUUAG